CCUACGGGAGGCAGCAGUGGGGAAUAUUGCGCAAUGGGCGAAAGCCUGACGCAGCGACGCCGCGUGAGGGAUGAAGGUCUUCGGAUCGUAAACCUCUGUCAGCAGGGAAGCACGGUCACUGUGCUAAUCAGCAGUGAAUUGACGGUACCUGCAAAGGAAGCACCGGCUAACUCCGUGCCAGCAGCCGCGUUAAUACGGAGGGUGCGAGCGUUAAUCGGAAUUACUGGGCGUAAAGCGCUCGUAGGCGGUAUGUCAAGUCAAGGGGGAAAUCCCCGGGCUCAACGUGGGAACUGCCUUUGAAACUGGCAAACUGGAGUGUGUGAGAGGAUAGUGGAAUUCCAGGUGUAGGAGUGAAAUCCGUAGAUAUCUGGAGGAACAUCAGUGGCGAAGGCGACUAUCUGGCACAUAACUGACGCUGAGGAGCGAAAGCGUGGGUAGCAAACAGGAUUAGAUACCCCUGUAGUC
rnacentral:rRNA from 1 species